GGUGGUUGCCAAAUCAUUUAUGUAGCUGUCAGGGGUUCAGGGACAGAGGCACAGGGUAGGCAGGAGAUGGAGAGCGAUGGGGAUGAAUCCCAGGACAGUGAGGAAGAGGAUGACAAUGACUCAAGAGAUUCCAUGAGUCUUUCCAGCGAAUCAGAGGAUUCCCAGAAGGGGGCGCCGGUGGUCAAGGCCAGGGGAGCCCCAGGGGGGACGUGUCAGGAGCAGGGGGCCAGCGGGGGAUCCCAAAGUGGCAGCUGGGCGUCAGGACCAGCCUCCCCGCCAGAGUGCAGCGAAGGGGGUGGAGGUUUCAGUGUAUCAGGGGAAGCGGCUCCGGCAGCAGAGAAGGGAGGGAGGUCGGAGCAAGCCACCCUCCCGGAGGGGAGGGGAGUAGUGAAGGGAGUAGUGUAGCUGUUAAAAGGAAGGUUAGAGGUUGGGCACGCGCGCAAGUUCAAAUGUAGAGGCGCGCGGAAGUACAGGGAGCCCGGAGGAGGGGCCAGGUCCCAAAGCCCGCAGGAGGGGCAAGAGCAGUCUGGGGAUUCCGCGUCAGAGGAAUCCAGGAGGGGCGAAACCCCAGCGGGCAGAAAGACCCUGCGGAAAAGGAAAGAGAGAAAGAGGUGGAGCAGCGCAAGCCUCUUAAACUGGUGCAGGGGAGGGACUGAUUCAGAGGGGACUUCAGCGGUCUAAGCGUAGCAGACGUAGGGCUGCGCGCCUCGGAUGUGAAGCAAACAAUGAACUGCAAUAAACACUUUUGUAUAUAAGAAGAGAUAGGCGUUGGUCUUUUGUGAGCUGAGACUUGAGGCAGCCCUGACAGUAAGUCCCCUCUCACAAACCGCAAAAAAAUUUUUUUGCAAAGCUCACGGAGUUUGGCAGACAUGACUACUGAGGAGCAGAUAACGACCCUGCAAAACGCAGUCGCUGAACUCUCCGUUGCAGUACGGGUCUCUCAGAAGACAGUUGCCGAAGCAGAAGCGCGAUGCCAGGAUCUGCAAGCCAGGUGGGAUCAGGCGUGCAAGAGGGGUUCCCGGGGUCCAGAUCAGAGGGAAUCGGACUCGGAUGGAGGGGGGCAAUUUAGUAGCCCACUUCGAUGGGAACCUGAAGCAUUAUCCCAAUUUCAGAGCAGACGUCGUAUACGCGCUGCAUUUGCUUCGAAAAGACUUCAAAGAUGAGGAGGAGAAAGUAGGCUUUAUUGUGUCCCAUUUGCAUGGGGAAGCUAGAACCUGGUUACGCAAUUUGUGGCGCGAAGAUGGUCUUGCCCGCAGGGACUCUGACGAAUUUAUCAAAGCCAUGGACGCUUGCUUCCAAUCUACCGUUGACGUUGAUGUGGCGCGCCAGGAGAUGCAUGGAUUGCGGCAGGGCAAGGCUACAGUGCGUCAGUACCAUUCUCGCUUUUUGCAUUGCUGAAUGUGCUGGGCUGGUAAAAGGACUCCCUGGCAGUGAGAGACUUGUUCUGGGAGGGGCUUCAUGGCUCAGUAAAAGAUGAGCUGGCUAGGGAGACAGACCUCAAACCCUAGCAGACGUCGUGCAGAGGGCACUCACGAUAGGGGUGCGCCACGAAGAACGCCCUUGGCACAGUGAGGAGGGGCGUCACGUCCGCCCACCAGCUAGAGCGCCUCCUUUUCUUCCCAGGGACCUGGGACGUACAAAUCCCUCGCCUAUGCUGAAGGGGGCGGAACCAAUGGAGCUGGGUGGUGCAAAGGCUCAGACAGCUGCCGGAGCCUCAGCGUCCGGAGCAGUCAAGGCGAAGCCUCCUAGAGGGACCAGGAAGUGUUACAUCUGUGACAGUGCACAGCACAUGGCUAAAGAGUGUCCCCAGAGGCUCCAGAAGCACACUGCAGCCUUAGCAACAGUAACAGGGGAAGCGUUCCAAGGAGAACAGUUUCAGGGAAACGAGAAUGCCUGGCUGGAAGCAGAGAUGCUGGGGCUCCGCCAGGCAAGUCAGUGAAGCAGUCCCCAGCGCUUUUGCAGCCUACAGACCCCUUACCACCCAAGCCAGUGGUGCAGCUCACUGCUACUCUCCAGCUACCUAAUGGACUCACCCUGGAAGUCCCCAUUACGAUUGACUCAGGGAGCAACGCAGACUUCGUGGGGAUGCAGUUCAUCAAGCAGCAUCGCAUAGCGCUACUACCAGCCACGCUGCCUCUGAACGUCGUCACGGUAGAUGGCAGGAAGUUGCUGGGUGGGCAAGUGGUACAACAGACGCCACCCAUGCUGCUGAAAAUUGGGAAUCAUCGCGAGGUCAUCAGUUUCAAUGUCACCCAACUGUCAGACACGCCUAUAGUGUUAGGCAUGAGUUGGCUGGAUAGACACAGCCCAUCAUUAGCGUGGUACCAGCGGCAGCUCACCUUUGGCUCGUCCUACUGCGCACAACAUUGCAUCCAGACCGGCCAGGAGGAGGAGGGCCAGGAGGAAGGGCAACAGUUGCAUCUAGGCAUGGUGCAGGCAGUGCCCCACAAGUACAAGGGGUUUUGGAGGUCUUCUGCGAAAAGGAAGCUGACCAAUUACCACCCCACCGGCCCUACGACUGUGCAAUUGACCUCUUACCAGGGGCGACGCUACCGACUGCGAAGCUGUAUUCCAUGUCUGAAGAUGAGAUGCAGGAACUCAGGGAGUUCAUAGAUCACAAUUUGAAGCGGGGAUUCAUCCGAGAAUCCAAGGCAGUGGGGGGCAGUCCUGUGUUUUUCGUGAAGAAGAAGGACACGCCCCAAAAACGGCUCAUUGUGGACUAUAGGGCCAUAAACUCGAUGACAAAGCCCAAGGCCUUCCCCAUGCCCAAGAUUGACGACCUGCUCGCGACGGUGAGGAAGGGGAGGAUCUUCACCAAGUUGGAUCUACGCGGAGCAUACAAUCUAAUACGCAUGAGGGAAGGUGACGAGUGGAAGACGGCCAUGUUCACGCCGCUGGGCACCUAUGAAUACAGAGUUAUGCCGUUUGGUCUCCAAAAUGGCUCCCACUGUUUCCAAGCAUUCAUGCACCACGUGCUAGCAGGACUCCUCUACAAGAAGUGCGUAUGCUUCCUCGACGACAUUCUGAUCUUCUCAGAAUCGCAGGAGACUCACGAGAGAGACGUAAAGGAGGUCCUGCAGAGGCUACGGGAGCACAGACUCUACGCCAAACUGGAGAAGUGCCAGUUCGACGUGACGGAGGUGGAUUUCCUGGGCUACCGGCUGUCCGACAAGGGACUAGCCAUGGACAGCGCCAAAGUCCGCGCGGUGUUGGACUGGAAUAGCCCGCGCAAUCGGAAGGAGGUCCAGAGGUUCGUCGGCUUCGCCAACUUUUACCGCAAGUUCAUCAGGGGUUUCGCGAAAGAGACGGCAGCUAUCACGGACACCCUCAGUUCCAAGAAGAAAAAGUUCACCUGGACGGACCAGGCGGAGCAGUCCUUCAGGAGACUUAAGAGCCUCUUCGCGUCCGAAGACCAGCUGCUACACGUGAAUCCCGGCAGGCCCAUGCGGGUUGAGACUGACGCAUCUGACAGAGCAGUGGGGGCCGUCCUCUUGCAGGAAGAUCCGCAAGGGAACUGGAGGCCCUGCGCUUUCUAUUCCCGGAAGCUCAGCAAGUCGGAACAGAACUACACCAUCUGGGACAGGGAGUUGUUGGCCAUCCACGCGGCUUUCAAGGCGUGGCGGCACUUCCUCAUCGGAGCCAAGCACACCGUGCAGGUCCGCACGGACCACAAGAACCUAGAGUAUUGGCGCACGGCGAAGCUCCAGAGCCAGAGGCACAUGAGAUGGGCGGAGUUCUUUGCGGAUUUCGAUUUCCGGAUAGAGUAUAUCCCGGGAGACAACAACGUCAUAGCGGAUGCGCUCUCCAGGAAACCGCAGUAUCUCGAGGAAGCGGCACCAGUGGCAGCCAGGCACAUUUUCGCACCGCAAGCGUGGGCGUGCGCUUCCGCCGCCGUGGACCUGGACGCGGUACGACGCGCGCUACAGACGGAUCCGUUCGCACAAUCCAAGAUGGAGGAGGUGCGAAGAGGGACAGCAAAGGACGGCGAAUUCCAGAUACGCGACGGCCUGCUGACCCGCAAAGGUGCUCUCUACGUGCCGGGAGACGAUCUCCGCGCGAAGGUUUUACAGCAGUUACACGACGCACCCAGCGCGGGUCACUUCGGCAAAGAAAAGACGGCGGACUUAGUAGCCAGAGACUUUUGGUGGCCCCAGAUGCGGGGAGAGGUCGCGGAUUACGUCGCCAGGUGUGACACUUGUCAGAGGUCCAAGCCAGUGCACAAGAAGCCAGCGGGAUUGCUGGAACCGCUGGAGACGCCACUACAGCCGUGGGAAAGGGUGGCGCUGGACUUUGUUACUGAUCUGCCCAGUUCGCGGGGCAAGACGGCGGUGCUUGUGGUUGUAGAUCUGUUCACCAAGAUGGCGCACUUCAUUCCUUGCGCGAAGGUGGCAACAGCGGAACAGACCGCCAAGCUGUUCAUAGACCACGUGUUCCGGGUGCACGGCUUACCGCGGUCCAUCCUGUCCGACCGGGGUCGCCAAUUCAUUUCCAGUUUCUGGCAGAAGCUCCUGGGCAUCCUGAAUGUCAAGAUCAACUUAGCGUCGGCGAGACACCCGCAAACCAACGGCCAAGCGGAGAGGGUCAACGCCAUCAUGCAGCAGUACCUGCGAUGUUACGCCAAUCAAAAGCCUGCAACUUGGGUGGACUACUUACCGAUGGCCGAGUUUGCCUACAACAACACGAAGCACGCGUCAGCGGGGUGACACCGUUCUUCGCCAACAAUGGGCGACAUCCCAGAACCUUCCCGGCGUUGGAGACAACGACGCAGGGGAGUCGCAGGGAGCUGAGCAUUUAGCAGCAGAAUUGCAGGAGGUCCACGAGGAGCUACGACGGCACUUGGAACUAGCUAAACACGCCUACAAAGUGCAGGCAGACAGGCACAGGAGGGCAGGAGAAGACAUCCAGGUGGGGGACUGGGUAUGGUUAGCAGCCCAGGCGGUGCCGGCCAAGUCGUUAGCUAAGAAGAAGCUAGGACACAAACAGCUAGGGCCAUACCAAGUUGAGGGCAGGAUCAAUCCCGUAGCUUUUCGGUUGACCCUCCCAGAAGGUUCCAGAAUGCACCCGGUCUUUCAUAGGUCGGUGCUUACACCCUACAAGGCCCCACACAGAUUUCAGGAGCCAGGGACGGCACCAGACCCACGUAGAAAGUCACCAGGGGGGGGGAAGUCACCGAGGACCCCGACACUCAACGAGGUCACGGAAAUUCUGGACUCGAGAUGGGGGGAGGAGGGAGUGGAAUACCUCCUCGCCAGGGAAGGUACCCCGGCCAGCGCCAACAGUUGGGUGCCAGAUUAUGCUCUGGAGGAACCUCUUCUUAAAGACGAGUUCCAUGCACUCUUCCCACACAGGCCCAUGCCAGCGGAGUAUUUUGACGACUGGCUUUUACGCCCACACUUUCAGGCAGCACCUUCCGGGGGUUCUCCUCCGCAGAGGAGACCACGCCGGAAUCGAGCCCUCCAAGGGGAUCGUGCUCGGGGGUGGACACGGACCGCUCUUAUUGGUGGGACGAUCAACCAGAAGUGGGGUGGCGAAGGGGGCCUUGGCAAGCAGCAUCGCCUGAAGUAACAGGGGGAGGGAAGGGUUUGGAUGUGUUGGGGGAGGACCCCAGUUUCGAGCACUCAUACACUGAACUGGAAGCAGAGGAGAUCGACGUCGACGAACUGUAUCCAGCAUCUACCCCCGCUACAACGGAGCUCCCGGAACCUGCGCCCGAGCAGCGGAGGGGGAAGGGGGCUUCGAGGGGGAUGGAUGUCAGGGGUUCAGGGACAGAGGCACAGGGUAGGCAGGAGAUGGAGAGCGAUGGGGAUGAAUCCCAGGACAGCGAGGAAGAGGAUGACAAUGACUCAAGAGAUUCCAUGAGUCUUUCCAGCGAAUCAGAGGAUUCCCAGAAGGGGCGCCGGUGGUCAAGGCCAGGGAGCCCCAGGGGGGACGUGUCAGGAGCAGGGGGCCAGCGGGGGAUCCCAAAGUGGCAGCUGGGCGUCAGGACCAGCCUCCCCGCCAGAGUGCAGCGAAGGGGGUGGAGGUUUCAGUGUAUCAGGGGAGCGGCUCCGGCAGCAGAGAAGGGAGGGAGGUCGGAGCAAGCCACCCUCCCGGAAGGGGAGGGAGUAGUGAAGGGAGUAGUGUAGCUGUUAAAAGGAAGGUUAGAGGUUGGGCGCGCGCGCAAGUUCAAAUGUAGAGGCGCGCGGAAGUACAGGGAGCCCGGAGGAGGGGCCAGGUCCCAAAGCCCGCAGGAGGGGCAAGAGCAGUCUGGGGAUUCCGCGUCAGAGGAAUCCAGGAGGGGCGAAACCCCAGCGGGCAGAAAGACCCUGCGGAAAAGGAAAGAGAGAAAGAGGUGGAGCAGCGCAAGCCUCUUAAACUGGUGCAGGGGGGGACUGAUUCAGAGGGGACUUCAGCGGUCUAAGCGUAGCAGACGUAGGGCUGCGCGCCUCGGAUGUGAAGCAAACAAUGAACUGCAAUAAACACUUUUGUAUAUAAGAAGAGAUAGGCGUUGGUCUUUUGUGAGCUGAGACUUGAGGCAGCCCUGACAGUAAGUCCCCUCUCCCUGAAACCGCAAAUUUUUUUUUGCAAAGCUCACGAAGUUUGGCAGACAUGACUACUGAGGAGCAGAUAACGACCCUGCAAAACGCAGUCGCUGAACUCUCCGUUGCAGUACGGGUCUCUCAGAAGACAGUUGCCGAAGCAGAAGCGCGAUGCCAGGAUCUGCAAGCCAGGUGGGAUCAGGCGUGCAAAGAGGGGUUCCCGGGGUCCAGAUCAGAGGGAAUCGGACUCGGACGGAGGGGGCAAUUUAGUAGCCCACUUCGAUGGGAACCUGAAGCAUUAUCCCAAUUUCAGAGCAGACGUCGUAUACGCGCUGCAUUUGCUUCGAAAAGACUUCAAAGAUGAGGAGGAGAAAGUAGGCUUUAUUGUGUCCCAUUUGCAUGGGGAAGCUAGAACCUGGUUACGCAAUUUGUGGCGCGAAGAUGGUCUUGCCCGCAGGGACUCUGACGAAUUUAUCAAAGCCAUGGACGCUUGCUUCCAAUCUACCGUUGACGUUGAUGUGGCGCGCCAGGAGAUGCAUGGAUUGCGGCAGGGCAAGGCUACAGUGCGUCAGUACCAUUCUCGCUUUUUGCAUUGCUGAAUGUGCUGGGCUGGGAAAAGGACGCCCUGGCAGUGAGAGACUUGUUCUGGGAGGGGCUUCAUGGCUCCGUAAAAGAUGAGCUGGCUAGGGAGACAGACCUCAAACCCUAGCAGACGUCGUGCAGAGGGCACUCACGAUAGGGGUGCGCCACGAAGAACGCCCUUGGCACAGUGAGGAGGGGCGUCACGUCCGCCCACCAGCUAGAGCGCCUCCUUUUCUUCCCAGGGACCUGGGACGUACAAAUCCCUCGCCUAUGCUGAAGGGGGAGGAACCAAUGGAGCUGGGUGGUGCAAAGGCUCAGACAGCUGCCGGAGCCUCAGCGUCCGGAGCAGUCAAGGCGAAGCCUCCUAGAGGGACCAGGAAGUGUUACAUCUGUGACAGUGCACAGCACAUGGCUAAAGAGUGUCCCCAGAGGCUCCAGAAGCACACUGCAGCCUUAGCAACAGUAACAGGGGAAGCGUUCCAAGGAGAACAGUUUCAGGGAAACGAGAAUGCCUGGCUGGAAGCAGAGAUGCUGGGGCUCCGCCAGGCAAGUCAGUGAAGCAGUCCCCAGCGCUUUUGCAGCCUACAGACCCCUUACCACCCAAGCCAGUGGUGCAGCUCACUGCUACUCUCCAGCUACCUAAUGGACUCACCCUGGAAGUCCCCAUUACGAUUGACUCAGGGAGCAACGCAGACUUCGUGGGGAUGCAGUUCAUCAAGCAGCAUCGCAUAGCGCUACUACCAGCCACGCUGCCUCUGAACGUCGUCACGGUAGAUGGCAGGAAGUUGCUGGGUGGGCAAGUGGUACAACAGACGCCACCCAUGCUGCUGAAAAUUGGGAAUCAUCGCGAGGUCAUCAGUUUCAAUGUCACCCAACUGUCAGACACGCCUAUAGUGUUAGGCAUGAGUUGGCUGGAUAGACACAGCCCAUCAUUAGCGUGGUACCAGCGGCAGCUCACCUUUGGCUCGUCCUACUGCGCACAACAUUGCAUCCAGACCGGCCAGGAGGAGGAGGGCCAGGAGGAAGGGCAACAGUUGCAUCUAGGCAUGGUGCAGGCAGUGCCCCACAAGUACAAGGGGUUUUUGGAGGUCUUCUGCGAAAAGGAAGCUGACCAAUUACCACCCCACCGGCCCUACGACUGUGCAAUUGACCUCUUACCAGGGGCGACGCUACCGACUGCGAAGCUGUAUUCCAUGUCUGAAGAUGAGAUGCAGGAACUCAGGGAGUUCAUAGAUCACAAUUUGAAGCGGGGAUUCAUCCGAGAAUCCAAGGCAGUGGGGGGCAGUCCUGUGUUUUUCGUGAAGAAGAAGGACACGCCCCAAAAACGGCUCAUUGUGGACUAUAGGGCCAUAAACUCGAUGACAAAGCCCAAGGCCUUCCCCAUGCCCAAGAUUGACGACCUGCUCGCGACGGUGAGGAAGGGGAGGAUCUUCACCAAGUUGGAUCUACGCGGAGCAUACAAUCUAAUACGCAUGAGGGAAGGUGACGAGUGGAAGACGGCCAUGUUCACGCCGCUGGGCACCUAUGAAUACAGAGUUAUGCCGUUUGGUCUCCAAAAUGGCUCCCACUGUUUCCAAGCAUUCAUGCACCACGUGCUAGCAGGACUCCUCUACAAGAAGUGCGUAUGCUUCCUCGACGACAUUCUGAUCUUCUCAGAAUCGCAGGAGACUCACGAGAGAGACGUAAAGGAGGUCCUGCAGAGGCUACGGGAGCACAGACUCUACGCCAAACUGGAGAAGUGCCAGUUCGACGUGACGGAGGUGGAUUUCCUGGGCUACCGGCUGUCCGACAAGGGACUAGCCAUGGACAGCGCCAAAGUCCGCGCGGUGUUGGACUGGAAUAGCCCGCGCAAUCGGAAGGAGGUCCAGAGGUUCGUCGGCUUCGCCAACUUUUACCGCAAGUUCAUCAGGGGUUUCGCGAAAGAGACGGCAGCUAUCACGGACACCCUCAGUUCCAAGAAGAAAAAGUUCACCUGGACGGACCAGGCGGAGCAGUCCUUCAGGAGACUUAAGAGCCUCUUCGCGUCCGAAGACCAGCUGCUACACGUGAAUCCCGGCAGGCCCAUGCGGGUUGAGACUGACGCAUCUGACAGAGCAGUGGGGCCGUCCUCUUGCAGGAAGAUCCGCAAGGGAACUGGAGGCCCUGCGCUUUCUAUUCCCGGAAGCUCAGCAAGUCGGAACAGAACUACACCAUCUGGGACAGGGAGUUGUUGGCCAUCCACGCGGCUUUCAAGGCGUGGCGGCACUUCCUCAUCGGAGCCAAGCACACCGUGCAGGUCCGCACGGACCACAAGAACCUAGAGUAUUGGCGCACGGCGAAGCUCCAGAGCCAGAGGCACAUGAGAUGGGCGGAGUUCUUUGCGGAUUUCGAUUUCCGGAUAGAGUAUAUCCCGGGAGACAACAACGUCAUAGCGGAUGCGCUCUCCAGGAAACCGCAGUAUCUCGAGGAAGCGGCACCAGUGGCAGCCAGGCACAUUUUCGCACCGCAAGCGUGGGCGUGCGCUUCCGCCGCCGUGGACCUGGACGCGGUACGACGCGCGCUACAGACGGAUCCGUUCGCACAAUCCAAGAUGGAGGAGGUGCGAAGAGGGACAGCAAAGGACGGCGAAUUCCAGAUACGCGACGGCCUGCUGACCCGCAAAGGUGCUCUCUACGUGCCGGGAGACGAUCUCCGCGCGAAGGUUUUACAGCAGUUACACGACGCACCCAGCGCGGGUCACUUCGGCAAAGAAAAGACGGCGGACUUAGUAGCCAGAGACUUUUGGUGGCCCCAGAUGCGGGGAGAGGUCGCGGAUUACGUCGCCAGGUGUGACACUUGUCAGAGGUCCAAGCCAGUGCACAAGAAGCCAGCGGGAUUGCUGGAACCGCUGGAGACGCCACUACAGCCGUGGGAAAGGGUGGCGCUGGACUUUGUUACUGAUCUGCCCAGUUCGCGGGGCAAGACGGCGGUGCUUGUGGUUGUAGAUCUGUUCACCAAGAUGGCGCACUUCAUUCCUUGCGCGAAGGUGGCAACAGCGGAACAGACCGCCAAGCUGUUCAUAGACCACGUGUUCCGGGUGCACGGCUUACCGCGGUCCAUCCUGUCCGACCGGGGUCGCCAAUUCAUUUCCAGUUUCUGGCAGAAGCUCCUGGGCAUCCUGAAUGUCAAGAUCAACUUAGCGUCGGCGAGACACCCGCAAACCAACGGCCAAGCGGAGAGGGUCAACGCCAUCAUGCAGCAGUACCUGCGAUGUUACGCCAAUCAAAAGCCUGCAACUUGGGUGGACUACUUACCGAUGGCCGAGUUUGCCUACAACAACACGAAGCACGCGUCAACGGGGGUGACACCGUUCUUCGCCAACAAUGGGCGACAUCCCAGAACCUUCCCGGCGUUGGAGACAACGACGCAGGGGAGUCGCAGGGAGCUGAGCAUUUAGCAGCAGAAUUGCAGGAGGUCCACGAGGAGCUACGACGGCACUUGGAACUAGCUAAACACGCCUACAAAGUGCAGGCAGACAGGCACAGGAGGGCAGGAGAAGACAUCCAGGUGGGGGACUGGGUAUGGUUAGCAGCCCAGGCGGUGCCGGCCAAGUCGUUAGCUAAGAAGAAGCUAGGACACAAACAGCUAGGGCCAUACCAAGUUGAGGGCAGGAUCAAUCCCGUAGCUUUUCGGUUGACCCUCCCAGAAGGUUCCAGAAUGCACCCGGUCUUUCAUAGGUCGGUGCUUACACCCUACAAGGCCCCACACAGAUUUCAGGAGCCAGGGACGGCACCAGACCCACGUAGAAAGUCACCAGGGGGGGGGAAGUCACCGAGGACCCCGACACUCAACGAGGUCACGGAAAUUCUGGACUCGAGAUGGGGGGAGGAGGGAGUGGAAUACCUCCUCGCCAGGGAAGGUACCCCGGCCAGCGCCAACAGUUGGGUGCCAGAUUAUGCUCUGGAGGAACCUCUUCUUAAAGACGAGUUCCAUGCACUCUUCCCACACAGGCCCAUGCCAGCGGAGUAUUUUGACGACUGGCUUUUUACGCCCACACUUUCAGGCAGCACCUUCCGCCCCAACACCUCCGCAGAGGAGACCACGCCGGAAUCGAGCCCUCCAAGGGGAUCGUGCUCGGGGGUGGACACGGACCGCUCUUAUUGGUGGGACGAUCAACCAGAAGUGGGGUGGCGAAGGGGGCCUUGGCAAGCAGCAUCGCCUGAAGUAACAGGGGGAGGGAAGGGUUUGGAUGUGUUGGGGAGGACCCCGGUUUCGAGCACUCAUACACUGAACUGGAAGCAGAGGAGAUCGACGUCGACGAACUGUAUCCAGCAUCUACCCCCGCUACAACGGAGCUCCCGGAACCUGCGCCCGAGCAGCGGGAGGGGGGAAGGGGGGGCUUCGAGGGGGGGAUGGAUGUCAGGGGUUCAGGGACAGAGGCACAGGGUAGGCAGGAGAUGGAGAGCGAUGGGGAUGAAUCCCAGGACAGCGAGGAAGAGGAUGACAAUGACUCAAGAGAUUCCAUGAGUCUUUCCAGCGAAUCAGAGGAUUCCCAGAAGGGGCGCCGGUGGUCAAGGCCAGGGAGCCCCAGGGGGACGUGUCAGGAGCAGGGGGCCAGCGGGGAUCCCAAAGUGGCAGCUGGGCGUCAGGACCAGCCUCCCGCCAGAGUGCAGCGAAGGGGGUGGAGGUUUCAGUGUAUCAGGGAAGCGGCUCCGGCAGCAGAGAAGGGAGGGAGGUCGGAGCAAGCCACCCUCCCGGAAGGGGAGGGGAGUAGUGAAGGGAGUAGUGUAGCUGUUAAAAGGAAGGUUAGAGGUUGGGCGCGCGCGCCAAGUUCAAAUGUAGAGGCGCGCGGAAGUACAGGGAGCCCGGAGGAGGGGCCAGGUCCCAAAGCCCGCAGGAGGGGGCAAGAGCAGUCUGGGGAUUCCGCGUCAGAGGAAUCCAGGAGGGGCGAAACCCCAGCGGGCAGAAAGACCCUGCGGAAAAGGAAAGAGAGAAAGAGGUGGAGCAGCGCAAGCCUCUUAAACUGGUGCAGGGGAGGGACUGAUUCAGAGGGGACUUCAGCGGUCUAAGCGUAGCAGACGUAGGGCUGCGCGCCUCGGAUGUGAAGCAAACAAUGAACUGCAAUAAACACUUUUGUAUAUAAGAAGAGAUAGGCGUUGGUCUUUUGUGAGCUGAGACUUGAGGCAGCCCUGACA